UAUCUAAAUUUCUAUAAAUUUAGAUAAAUUAUAUAAAUGGAAUUCUAAUAUAUGUACAUCUAUAUAUAGAUAU
rnacentral:tRNA from 1 species